AAUGGUUUAAUUAGAUUUGUCUCAUAUAUAUAUAUUUAUAUGUCUAGAUUUAAUUGGUUUAAAAUUUUUAAUUAUAUCAUCCUUAUGUCAUGCUUACAUCAUAAUUCAUUUAAUUUUUAUUUCUUUCUUUUCCUUUUCUUUUCCCUUUUUCCAUUUCUUAAUUCAUAAUUUUAAUUUAUUUUUUAAUAUUUUAUUCUCUCUCUUUUCACUUG
rnacentral:misc_RNA from 1 species